rnacentral:rRNA from 1 species
GAUGAACGCUAGCGGCAGGCUUAAUACAUGCAAGUCGAGGGGCAGCAUGAUUGUAGCAAUACAAUUGAUGGCGACCGGCAAACGGGUGCGGAACACGUACACAACCUUCCAAUAAGUGGGGAAUAGCCCAGAGAAAUUUGGAUUAAUACCCCGUAACAUAGCGAUGUGGCAUCACAUUGCUAUUAUAGAUUUUUCGCUUAUUGAUGGGUGUGCGGCUGAUUAGAUAGUUGGCGGGGUAACGGCCCACCAAGUCUACGAUCAGUAGCUGAUGUGAGAGCAUGAUCAGCCACACGGGCACUGAGACACGGGCCCGACUCCUACGGGAGGCAGCAGUAAGGAAUAUUGGACAAUGGACGCAAGUCUGAUCCAGCCAUGCCGCGUGAAGGAUUAAGGUCCUCUGGAUUGUAAACUUCUUUUAUAAGGGACGAAAAAAGGCUUUUCUAAGUCGUCUGACGGUACCUUAUGAAUAAGCACCGGCUAACUCCGUGCCAGCAGCCGCGGUAAUACGGAGGGUGCAAGCGUUAUCCGGAUUCACUGGGUUUAAGGGGUGCGUAGGCGGGCAGGUAAGUCAGUGGUGAAAUCCUAGAGCUUAACUCUAGAACUGCCAUUGAUACUAUCUGUCUUGAAUAUUGUGGAGGUAAGCGGAAUAUGUCAUGUAGCGGUGAAAUGCUUAGAUAUGACAUAGAACACCUAUUGCGAAGGCAGCUUACUACGCAUAUAUUGACGCUGAGGCACGAAAGCGUGGGGAUCAAA